AGCCAAGCCUGUGGGCAGGGCUACGGGCAGGGGGCGGGGAGGAAUGUGGGUCCAGGCCCAGAGGAAAGGGUUGAAGUUAUAGCCAGGCCUGUGGGCGAGGCCGCAGCAGGGCGGCCAUAGGGGAAGGAGCCAAUGUGUUAUGCAUGUAGAAAAUAGACAAAAUCUCACUCUGUCAUCAAGGCUGGAGUUCAGUGGAGCCAUCUCAGCUCACUGCAGCCUCCACCUCCCAGGUUCAAGCGAUUCUCCUGCCUCAUCCUCCCAAGUAGCUGGAAUUACAGGUGCAUGCUGCCACACCCUGCUAAUUUUUGUAUUUUUAGUAGAGGCAGGGUUUUGCCUUGCUGGCCAGGCUGGUCUUGAACUACUUGUCAGGCCUGUGAGCCCAAGUUAAAUCAUCAUAAACCCUGUCACCUGCACGUAUACAUCCAGAUGGCCUGGAGCAACUGAAGAACCACAAAAGAAGUGAAACAGCCAGUUCCUGCCUUAACUGAUGACGUUCCACCAUUGUGAUUUGUUGCUGCCCCACCCCAACUGAUCUCUUGACCUUGUGACAUUCUUCUUCUGGACGAGUCUCAGGAGUUCCCCACAGAGCACCUUGUGACCCCCGGCCCUGCCAGCAAAAGAUAACCACCUUUAACUUUCCACUACCUACCCAAAUCCUAUAAAACUGCCCCACCCCAUCUCCCUUUGCUGACCCCUUUCUCGGACUCAGCCCACUUGCACCCAAGUGAAUAAACAGCCUUGUUGCUAACACAAA